rnacentral:rRNA from 1 species
CCUACGGGAGGCAGCAGUAGGGAAUCUUCCACAAGGGACGAAAGUCUGAUGGAGCAACACCGCGUGAGUGAAGAAGGUUCUCGGAUCGUAAAACUCUGUUGUGAGGGAAGAACAAGUACCGGAGUAACUGCCGGUACCUUGACGGUACCUCAUUAGAAAGCCACGGCUAACUACGUGCCAGCAGCCGCGGUAAUACGUAGGUGGCAAGCGUUGUCCGGAAUCAUUGGGCGUAAAGCGCGCGCAGGCGGUCCCUUAAGUCUGAUGUGAAAGCCCACGGCUCAACCGUGGAGGGUCAUUGGAAACUGGGGGACUUGAGUGCAGAAGAGGAAAGCGGAAUUCCAAGUGUAGCGGUGAAAUGCGUAGAGAUUUGGAGGAACACCAGUGGCGAAGGCGGCUUUCUGGUCUGUAACUGACGCUGAGGCGCGAAAGCGUGGGGAGCAAACAGGAUUAGAUACCCUGGUAGUCCACGCCGUAAACGAUGAGUGCUAAGUGUUAGGGGGUUUCCGCCCCUUAGUGCUGCAGCUAACGCAUUAAGCACUCCGCCUGGGGAGUACGGUCGCAAGACUGAAACUCAAAGGAAUGACGG